rnacentral:rRNA from 2 species
UUCCGGUUGAUCCCGCCGGACCUGACUGCUAUCGGAUUGAUACUAAGCCAUGCGAGUCAUUGUAGCAAUACAAGGCAUACGGCUCAGUAACGCGUAGUCAACCUACCCUAUGGACGGAAAUAACCUCGGGAAACUGAGAAUAAUAUCCGAUAGAACAUUAUGCCUGGAAUGGUUUAUGUUCCAAAUGAUUUAUCGCCGUAGGAUGGGACUGCGGCCUAUCAGUUUGUUGGUGAGGUAAUGGCCCACCAAGACUAUUACAGGUACGGGCUCUGAGAGGAGUAGCCCGGAGAUGGGUACUGAGACACGGACCCAGGCCCUAUGGGGCGCAGCAGGCGAGAAAACUUUGCAAUGUGCGAAAGCACGACAAGGUUAAUCCGAGUGAUUUCUGCUAAAGAAAUCUUUUGUUAGUCCUAGAAACACUAACGAAUAAGGGGUGGGCAAGUUCUGGUGUCAGCCGCCGCGGUAAAACCAGCACCUCAAGUGGUCAGGAUGAUUAUUGGGCCUAAAGCAUCCGUAGCCGGCUCUGUAAGUCCUCGGUUAAAUCUGUACGCUUAACGUACAGGCUGCCGGGAAUACUGCAUAGCUAGGGAGUGGGAGAGGUAGACGGUACUCGGUAGGAAGGGGUAAAAUCCUUUGAUCUAUUGAUGACCACCUGUGGCGAAGGCGGUCUACCAGAACACGUCCGACGGUGAGGGAUGAAAGCUGGGGGAGCAAACCGGAUUAGAUACCCGGGUAGUCCCAGCUGUAAACUAUGCAAACUCAGUGAUGCAUUGGCUUGUGGCCAAUGCAGUGCUGCAGGGAAGCCGUUAAGUUUGCCGCCUGGGAAGUACGUACGCAAGUAUGAAACUUAAAGGAAUUGGCGGGGGAGCACCACAAGGGGUGAAGCCUGCGGKUCAAUUGGAGUCAACGCCGG